CAAUAGCGUAUAUUAAAGUUGUUGCAGUUAAAAAGCUCGUAGUUGGAUUUCGGGGCAGCCUGGCUGGUCCGCCGCAAGGCGAGUACUGGUCAGCCGCCCUUCCUCUCGAAAGCCCCGACUGCUCUUUAUUGCAGUGGUCGGGUAGUUCGGGACGUUUACUUUGAAAAAAUUAGAGUGUUCAAGGCAGGCCUACGCCUGAAUACAUUAGCAUGGAAUAAUGGAAGAGGACCUCGGUCCUAUUUUGUUGGUUUCCAGGACCGAAGUAAUGAUUAAGAGGGACAGUUGGGGGCAUUCGUAUUUAAUUGUCAGGGGUGAAAUUCUCGGAUUUAUGAAAGACGAACAACUGCGAAAGCAUUUGCCAAGGAUGUUUUCAUUAA
rnacentral:rRNA from 1 species